UCUCUUCUGAACCGUGAAGAGCAGAAAUAUGCCCUAGAAAAAAAAUUCACAUCUUUCGGGGAAAUCUUAACUAAAUCAUAUUUAACGGGAUCAAGAUAUUAUGGAACGAUAUCAAAAACCGAAAUCAUCUCCUCAAGAUCUCUCUAAGUAAUUUGAAUCUAAAAAUAUCGUAUUUUUGUUUCAUUUUUUUCAAAAUCCAAAGUUCCUGAGAAAAUUCGUUAGUUAUGAUUCUUUAAUUGAUUGAUUUUGAUGAAUGUAAAAUUUUAUUAAAGGAUUGGGGUCAGCUGUUUUAGGUUGCCUGAAAGGCCGACGAAAAAGUCAUCAGCAUCAAUUCGAAAAGGUGAUCAACGUCGUAAGAAGAUAUUGUGGAAGAGGUAGACAAAGAUACUGUGGAAGAGAGUGAUAAUGCUAGUGAGGAUAGUAACGAGGAUAGUAGGAACGAUGCUAGUGACAAAGAUACUGUGGAAGAGGUAGACAAAGAUACUGUGGAAGAUGAUAACUAUGAAAAAUAGUUUGAUGAAGAAAGUAGUGAUGAGGACGAUGAAGAUAAUUUAGGAGAGGCUGAUGUUGGAAGAGCUCCUUCUAGUGAAAAAGGAAAAAUGGCAGUUGAAGCAAGUGAAAUCCUUGGGCAAACUAUUAAUCGAUGUCUUCUAUCAUACUAUAAAGACCACAUUGCGCGAUCAGUGUGGGAAAAUGAGAAUCCAAGAGAAAAUCCAAUACCGCUUAAACUACAUCAACACCAAGAUAUGGUCAAAACAAAAUCGCAUGUUGAUAAAGAGUGUGUUGAAGUUCAAGAAUAUGUAAUAAGAGCGGUUUGUAUUCUUUAAUCAAGUAUGGCCAUGAUAAGAUUGAUCGUGCUCUUUGUUUAUGGGUAAAAAAUGUUUCUGCUGGUUUUGGUAAAUUUGGGUGUGUGGAUAAGAAACAAAUCUAAACUUAAAACAAAUGCACUACACGGGAGUACUUUAGAUUCGAGAGAUCAAUCUGUAC